AACAUUUAUUUGUGUUUCUGUGUAUUGUUACCAAUCUGAAAUUAAGUAUCACAGCAACAAUUUUUGCACUAUUCCUGUAAGAAUUAAAAAACUCAAAUUAUAAAACAGAAAAAAACAAAAAUUAUAUACACAUAUUUAUAUGAUUAAUGCAUUUUUUGCUUUAAAUAUAUGCUUUGACUAAAAAUAGUUACAUUGGAUUCUCCACUGAAUUGAUGAGAGAAUCCAGGUUAAGUUGGGUAGUCUCUAGUCUCAUUGCUCUUCAGACUGAGUUGAAUUCGGAGGACACGCCUCCCUGGUAACGGUCCCCAGUGUUUCAACUCAGUUUCAAGCUCAUUCAGAUGUUCCUUAAGGCUCUGAAGAUCUUGAGUUUUAAAAAAGAGACUUGUAUUAUUAAUCCCUGGAUCUCCCAUUGACAUCAGAGUCAGUUGGAAAGAUUUGAAAGCUGUCCAACUUAGGACAGACACUCUUUGUUUUUUUCCGCGCCUUUGUAUUUUAGCACCUUUUUUAUUUUUAUUGUUGGUUACACCUUUGGU